CAAAAAGCCGAUUUUGCAUCUGGAUUCCUAGUGGUUGAGGGAAGAGAUGCAAAUAAACAUCUGGAAGAGAAAUGCAUCUACCUUGAGUGCCAUAUGACAGAAAAAGCAGUUACAGAAACAAACAUCUCACAAAAGUCUGCAAAGUUUACCAUAGGGGAAGAGUUGACAUUAGCCACCUGCCAAGUUUAGAGAGCAAAAAGAUGCCCAGCCAAAUUAGAACUUACUGCUUUUUUACCUAUCCUCCUCCUCUCCUCCCUCUUGUCUUCUACUUGGGCUUAAGUGAAAAGCAAAGGAAAUAGAUAUUAAUGAGUGGAGGAGGGAAAAGAGAGAGGGUAAGAAUUGGGGAGAGAGAGAGAGAGAGAGCGAGACAGAGAGAGAGAGCGAGCUUUAUCAGGAUAAGCAAAUAGGAAGACCAAGACUUUCCUUUGAAUAAAGAUUGGAGGUCUAAUGAACAUCUAGGACUGGUAUUCUAAUUUAUAAAUUGAAACUAUCCUUGUAGCCUAAAGGCAUCACAGAACUCUCCAUAACUGAUAGAAGCAGAAAAUUCAUGGAUCUUUGCAAAUUAAUUACACAUAAAUCACCCAGGGCUCUUCUACAAAUGGACGUUAUGACUCAGUAGGUCCUAGGUGGAGCCUGAGAGUCUGCAUUUCUGACAAGGUCUCAAUUGAUGCCAGUGUUUCUACACUGUCUUGGGCCACACUUAUGAAUUCAAACAUCUUGAGUGGAAUAAGCCAAAUAAAUUUUAAGGGGAUUAUGAAAGACAAAAAGAUGCAUUUUGAUCAUGCUGUGGAUUGUGCUUUCAACACAUAAGUCAUCCACUUUAUUUGAUCGAUUAAACAUAACAUCAUUAAUGAAUAUAGUCUUUAUUUUAAAAAUGUCAUUCUGUACAGAAAAAUAUGUUCAAUUCUACUUUCAGUUGCUACCCUUCCACCUUCUCAUCAGUGGCUAUAGAGGUAACCAAUGUUUUAACAAUUUUGUGGGUAUAUUUC
rnacentral:lncRNA from 1 species